UGAAUUUCAUUUAAUUAUUGCAGUUUGUUGAAUUUUUUCAGGUUUAUUUUACAGGAGUUGAUGUAGAAUCGGAGAGAUGUGCAACUUUUUAGGGUUAUUGAUUUUGCAAAACGGUUAGGUAUUAAAAUCGAUUAGCUUUUUUUUGUUUGUGAUCUAAUCUGAACGAUUAAUGUCAAUCGUAUCUUUUUCAUCUUAUAAAGCAGCUAUUAAUGGAAAAUCUUCCUGUUUCUCAAUUUACGGUGACACUCUUCACUUCUUCUAGAUUACUAACAAUAAAGAAAUCAGUGAUACCCUUCUCCAUCAUCCUCCGUGUCUGAAUUCCAAUCCGAAGUAUCACCCUCUGAAGUGGUUUGUAUCUCAAUUUUGUAUUUAUUUUAAUUUUAAUUUUGAUUAGGGUUUUUGAUUGGUUGGAUUAGGGUUUUUGACUAAUUUUGGGAUGUGCUGAGGUAAAGGAAAGUUUUUAACAAGAAGUGGAUCGACCGAUAUGCGAGAGACAAUUAAGCUGACAAUGGGGUGAUUGAGUCUUAUACUCAUGAUCGUUGUACAAUUAAGAAACACUGCUGCGAGGAGAACUGUUGCAGGAGAGCAGGGAUUGUGCAUUGACUGCCAAACACGCAUUCCUCCUGAUUACAUCAUAGCCACGAAGUUGUUCUCCUAAGUUGGUAAGAUUGCAAAAAUGUGUAGCAUAUGGCUCAUAUUUGGCGCUUUAACCCUUUAUACAGGAGAGGGCAGUUUAUAUACACAUACACUUUUCGUUGUAUCUCUACUGUCGAAUUCAUUGGGAUGCAACAACAAUCUGAAAUGUCUUUCGAGAGAUUUGGAGCGAGGCCAGGACAUCUUACCUUACUUAGUCAAGUCCGUAAGUAAAUCUUUAACAUCUCAAAGUAAUGUGCCAGAUAAAUUUACCAGGGAUUACUUCGUUUGAGAUAGUAGUAGGUAUAUUUUUUUUGAGAUCAAACAAAGAUCCGAGAAAAGAAUGAUCCAAUAUAGUAGUUUAGGUAAUAUGACUUUGUUCGUACUAUUUCUUAUCUUUAGGGGAUUUGGAAAAUUUACUCCAGUUUUGGACCGUUGAAACCCACUGGUAUAUCGGUUUAAGUUGAUUUGGAUAAUGGGAACCAUGAAAUUAUGCAAUUCUGGAAAUUCUGGCAUGCCAAUGUGAUUGUUGGGUUAUAUUAGAGUUUCCAGUAUUGCAUUCUUUCUUGAUUUCUAAUGCCAUCUGAAUCAUUGGACUCUGGGAACAAAGAUAUGCAAAAGGUUUGUGAGCCAGGUGUUCGUAUUUCUGCUUUUUUUCGCAUCAUUUUUCAUAUUUUUGGAUUUGAUCUUUUGUGUUUUCUUUUGAUUAUUGAUUUGUUGUUUUUUCUUGGUUAAUCCUGCCUAAUUGGUGUGCUCUACUAAAACACUGGCAAUGAUCUUCAACUAACAUAACCGUUUUAUGGGCAUCUAAUGUGGUUCAUUGAUUUUUUACGCUUCACUGUUUUGCAUGCAGGGUUGAUUAUUUAGGAAUUUGGCAGUUUGAGCUGAUUAUAUGAAACAGUCUUGUACAAGUUCUUUGAUGGCUUUGUAGGAUUAGAUGUUGUGGGAUAUCAAGGUGCUUGGUUAAAUGGUAUUUGCCAUCUGAUUAGUAUAACAAUAGAAAAAACCUGGAGAAUAACAUAUAUUGUUUGUUCGCAGCAACGUGGAUUAAUACAGCGGAAGAACGUGCCAGUGAGAGUUGUAAUCGCUAAGGGAAACACAGUUCAAAUUUGCUAGAACAGUAGAAACUCCAAUAGUGAGAACGACAUCGAGAUUAUUUAAGGCCCGCGAAAGAAGAAAGCAUACAGUUAUCGUGUUAAGAACUAAACCACUCUAUCUACAAGGUGAAUUGCUGAAAGAAAAAUCAUAAAAAACGCAACUCUAAACAGACAGGAGAAGGCACGUGAUCCUAAAAACGAUUUUUAAACGAACAGAAAAAAGAAAAUUGUCUCUACCUGGAAAGAUAUUAAUCGAGCUCCGAGUACUUCAUGUGGUUCAAGUUUUCUUGAUUAUUUUGUACUACAUUUUUCAAAAUUAUUUAUCGUGAUCUGUAUUCUCAUAAUGAAAUGUGUUUGAAACUGAUUUUGCAAAAAAAAAACGGAAAACAGGUCCAGACAA